UCUCCGUUGGUGAACCAGCGGAGGGAUCAUUAUUGAAUACGAUUGGUACUGAUGCUGGCUCUUCACUGAGCAUGUGCUCGUCCAUCUAUUUAUCUUCUCUUGUGCACAUUUUGUAGUCUUGAACGAACCUCUCGCAGUCAAUGCGGUUUGGGAGAUUGGGCGCGAGCCCUCCUCCUGCUUCUUCAAGGCUAUGUUUUCAUAUACACUAUAAAGUUACAGAAUGUCUUUUAACGAUUGCGCUUGUCGUAGUCAUUAAACCUAUACAACUUUCAGCAACGGAUCUCUUGGCUCUCCUAUCGAUGAAGAACGCAGC
rnacentral:misc_RNA from 1 species